UAUCGACGAGUUUGAUCAUGGCUCAGAAUGAACGUUGGCGGCGUGGAUUAGGCAUGCAAGUCGCGCGAUAAGAUUCCUUCGGGGAUCCCAAAGCGGCGAAAGGGAGAGUAACGCGUAGUUAUCUGCCCUGAGGACUGGGAUAGCGGCGGGAAACUGCCGGUAAUACCAGAUGAUAUCUCCGGAUCAAAGGUGUGAUUCCGCCUCAGGAUGAGACUGCGUCCUAUUAGCUAGUUGGUGUGGUAACGGCUCACCAAGGCGAAGAUGGGUACCGGGUGUGAGAGCACGACCCGGCUCACUGGGACUGAGACACUGCCCAGACACCUACGGGUGGCUGCAGUCGAGAAUCUUCGGCAAUGGGCGAAAGCCUGACCGAGCGACGCCGCGUGCGGGAUGAAGGCCCUCGGGUUGUAAACCGCUGCAGUGGGGAGCAAAUGGCUAGGAGUUAUCUCCUAGUCUUGAGCGAUCCAAAAAGGAAGUACGGGCUAAGUUCGUG
rnacentral:rRNA from 1 species